AAACACCAAUCCUGCUCAUAAAUUAGGAUGAUACAUCACAAUGGUAACAGUUCGUGAAAGUACAACAUGCUGUUUCCAUGGAGACCAUAAAGGAGAGGAGGAAAAGAAGAUAAUUGUGUUUUUGGAAACACUUUAACUAAUCAGCUCUAGCUGACAUUCGGGGUAAUGGGUGUGUUUUGUGUUGCCAUGCCGACUGCAGCUAUUUAAACAGCUUUCAUCGUCACAACAUGACAACAGAGUGAGCGUGGGACAGAUGGAUAGACGAGAGAUGGAGGAUAAUAGAGGAAAAUAGGAGUGUGUGUUGCAGUGUGUAUGACCAGCAGUCAUUUAAAACAAUGACAAACUGCCAAACUCAGAGAGGAGAAGGAACAAAGAAAACGAUUUUUUACACAUUUCAGAGUUUCUGUUUCUGUGUGAAAUAUUAUCACGAAACACUUUUGAAAGCUGCUCAUGUUCAUGGGCUGGAGGUCGGAGGACUCAAAAGGAAAUCCGUAGAGGGAGUUGAAGGUUCGAGUUGCCAAACGUCAGCCACAAAACUUCAAUGACUUGCAGAGGAUCUGCAUCGAGGACUGGGACAAAAUCCCCCCUGACAUGUAAAACUGACCUUUGUGAUUGCAACAAAGAUUUUGCCACCAA